AUUGAACGCUGGCGGAAUGCUUUACACAUGCAAGUCGAACGGCAGCACGGGGCAACCUGGUGGCGAGUGGCGAACGGGUGAGUAAUACAUCGGAACGUGCCCAAUCGUGGGGAUAACGUAGCGAAAGUUACGCUAAUACCGCAUACGAUCUACGGAUGAAAGCGGGGGAUCGCAAGACCUCGCGCGAGUGGAGCGGCCGAUGUCAGAUUAGGUAGUUGGUGGGGUAAAGGCUCACCAAGCCAACGAUCUGUAGCUGGUCUGAGAGGACGACCAGCCACACUGGAACUGAGACACGGUCCAGACUCCUACGGGAGGCAGCAGUGGGGAAUUUUGGACAAUGGCGCAAGCCUGAUCCAGCCAUUCGCGUGCAGGAUG
rnacentral:rRNA from 1 species